CCUACGGGAGGCAGCAGUGAGGAAUAUUGGUCAAUGGACGCAAGUCUGAACCAGCCAUGCCGCGUGCAGGAAGACGGCUCUAUGAGUUGUAAACUGCUUUUGUACGAGGGUAAACGCAGAUACGUGUAUCUGUCUGAAAGUAUCGUACGAAUAAGGAUCGGCUAACUCCGUGCCAGCAGCCGCGGUAAUACGGAGGAUUCAAGCGUUAUCCGGAUUUAUUGGGUUUAAAGGGUGCGUAGGCGGUCGGAUAAGUUAGAGGUGAAAUCCCGAGGCUCAACUUCGGAAUUGCCUCUGAUACUGUUCGGCUAGAGAGUAGUUGCGGUAGGCGGAAUGUAUGGUGUAGCGGUGAAAUGCUUAGAGAUCAUACAGAACACCGAUUGCGAAGGCAGCUUACCAAGCUACUUCUGACGUUGAGGCACGAAAGCGUGGGGAGCGAACAGGAUUAGAUACCCCUGUAGUC
rnacentral:rRNA from 1 species